AAUUAGAUUUUGCUAAAGUUAACUAAAUGACUCGAAAAAAGAUUCGUUCAUUUUGCUGAACGCGACUCGAAAGUAGGAGUCGGUUAAAUGAUCCGAACUACCCAUCACGAGUGUCUCGACUUCCCACACUUUAUAAAGUAAAAGUCCAAGAUCGCGACGAGCGUUGACAACGCUGCACUUCUUUGAAUCGCGAACUUCAGUAGAGACUAAUUUUAUUGCAGAAAAAAUUGAGAAAGAUUUCAAGUUGUUUUGGAAGGAUGUUCUUUUUGGCCCUUAUGACCUCAACAGAACUAAGACUAGGCCUAAUGAAACAUUCAUUAUUAAUUUCAUUAUUCUCUUUGCAAAAUUUUACAUUCAUAAAUGUAUUGCGCAUUCCAAAACAUCUUUUAUUGCUUUUAACAUUGAGGUCAAGCAAUAUGUCAACACGAUUAAGUAUUCUCUUAAUCAAAAGGCAACAAAAACUGUGAAGGUGUGUAAACAAUUUGAUAUAUUUUUGUAAGUCCGUACUUCCCCUGGCAAAAUGUGAUGAUGUGAGUCUUUUGUUUAUUUUUUGUUUAUGUUAAAAUACCUGCAAUGUUGGAAACUGCACAAUAUGUUAUUUUUAUAAUGGAGAUGAACGCUCAUGUAAACUGUGCAAUUGUUGAAUAAUAGUCUAUAGACUGAUUGGCCAUAAAAUGAACCAAUCACAAGACAUCUUAUAGGGGGGGCACCUGGUGUGGCCAAUCGAAUUUCCCCCCCCCCCUGGCCACCACGUAGACCCGCCCCUGCAUGAAACCAUGAACUGAAACAAUACAUUUCAAACAUUCUUGUUUAAGUCAACAUUUGUGAUAUAACACAAUGUAACACCAAUGACAUCCAAUUUGCUAAAUCAAAAGGUAAUUCAGCGUCGAUUCAACCCUGGUACCUGACGUUGUUUUAACGUUGAAUCAAUGUUGAAGUGCCAACUGGGAUAUGUUAAUUUAGAUUUGUUCAUAAAAUAAUAUAAGGUAAUGUUAAUGCUAAAUACAACAUUUAAUUAUUUAACACUUACACAUUUUUUAAUAGGGAUCCAUUGUUACAUAUUGUAUAAAGCAGGGUUCCCCAAACCAUGACUUUAACAGCAGUAACCACUGGAUUGUAAAAACUUUUGAAUGGUAAUAAGUUUUCCAUUUUGCCAUUGUCUCUCAGAGUUUGUGCACUUUCAUUAGUGCUGGCAGUAAACUGGCACAGCUUCAGUGUCUGUGGCACUCAAAGGACUCUGGUCAGGUCAGCGGCUGCACUCUCAUCUGGGCUCUGGCCACAUAUACAUGCCUGGCACGGAUCUUCACCACCGUCAUCACCACAGGAGACGCACAAGUCCUCAUCCGGUUUGUUGUCAUGAACAUGUGGGUCACAGUCACAGUCAUCUACUACACACCUCAUGCAGUGAAACAGGAUUAAGGAGAUGCAACUUUCUGCAUACAGUUUGUCUCUAUGUAUUUUGUCUGCUUUUUUUUUUUUUUUUGAAGAAGAAGAGGAACUAAACUAGAUUCAGGCCAGGUGCUAUUUGUGUGUAACACUUUCUAUGUUGCAAUUUAAAAGAUUUAAGGUUUAUUGACUUUGCGUAAAUGUGUACAAGCAAAAUUCUUACAAUGCUCUGGGUUUUUCAGUUGAUUUAGUCUUUCCAAGGAAGUUUUAAUCUGUGCUUUAUAUUUAUCUAUAUAUAUCUAUAUAUAAUAUAUAUAAUAUGUUUAAUUCAAAAUUCAAAAGUGAUGACUAUAUUAUUUGCAUUUUGAUUUGCAUUUUGAUGGCUUUACACUUUGAUACUUAUGGUCAGUUUAAGUGUAAAGUUUUCCACACUUUUAUUUUGCCGCCUUGCAAGCACUGGUAUUUUCUCCAGAACAUGCAAAUAGAUUAUGUAUCGGGAUGUGGGACAGUGUUCUUGUUUUCAGUAUAAUUGCUAUAAAUCUCAUAUUCCUGUGAAGGAAAACAGAUAUGAAUGUUAUAGACUCAUGUCAAAUGAUGAAUCGUAUUUAAUACAAGUAUAUCAGAAGUCUGACCAAAUAGUGUUAUGAAACAGUAAUAACAUUCCUAUCCUCACUUAUUCCAACACUUUCUUAUAAUUCCUGGUAGUUUUCUUGCCUGUACCUCCCUGCCUUUUCAUGUUCAGAUAUACUGUGUGUUUUUUUUUCAGUUGUUAUACUGUAAGAAGUUUAGUAAGUCUUUUUCUUUUCAGAAAGGAAAAUAUUUUGUGCGCAAUUUUCAAGCUUUUUAAAACUGAUGAAUGAUAUCAGGUUGCUGAACAGAUGGUUUACUGUAGUUCAUAAAGGGGUGAUGUUUACAUAGGCUAAAAUAUGCACCAUUUUUAUAUCGAGCAUAAUCUUUAUUGAUCUGUAUUAUAUGGCGAUAUAAUGAACACGUUAAUUAAUGCAAAGCUAAUAAACCAUACGACUCUUUUGAACUCUCCGGUGUUCUAGUACAAACUUAGAAAAUUAUUUUAAUAACUAUUGGGUCUAAAGCACAACUAAUGUUUCUUUUGGGAGUACUUUAAAAUAUGUUACUUUGUAUUUUAUAAAUCAAUAAACAUUCCUUUAAUGUGCAAAAAUGUGUGAUUUGUUAGAAAGCUGCAGUAAGUAACCUUUGACGCUCUAGCGGUUAAUAAACAGAACUGCUUGCGUCUUGCGGAAGAACAUCGUAGCCGGAACUACUUCUCUCAUGUUUUAUACAUUUAAUUAUCCGAAUUAUUAUUUUAUGGUAAUCAGUUGAACUCCCCAGAUAAUCAAGUGUUAUUUGAGUGCAAUAACUAUCAUAUGUGUAUUGAGAAUGUAUGUUAUUCCUGUGAUUAAAGCGGAAAGAAAAGUACAACCACAUUGUUUAUAUUAAAACUUUACUUCCUUUUACUACAUUCACAGCUAUAUACCUAUUUAACUCACUACUUUGUUUACAAAAAUAAGCAAAUGUUAUACAGGGUUUCAAAAACAACACAGCUACAUAUGCUUUUCAUUUUAUGGUCAAACAGUACAUCGAUAUAAAACAUGCAAAUCAGGAGGCAGCGCUUUAAAAUAAAAGAAGUGCCCAGACCUGUAUAAAUAGCAAACCAACUGGUAAGAUGGCAGGUCAAAUAUACGCUGUAUAUUCAUAUAUUUAUAUAUAUAACGUGUAAAAGAACACGGAUAUGCAUUCACAGCACAUCCAGAGAUACACACUGUUUGGUAGGAUGAAGAUACACACACACACACACACAAAAAAAAAAGACCACUUCAAAUCACAAAAUUAAAAAAA